rnacentral:lncRNA from 1 species
GUGUGUCAAAUUUUCAAAUUUGUUGGUCCUUUAAAUAAAUACCAUAUUAGGAUGUGUAUCAUACAUUCUUUUAAUCUGAGACAUAUAAUUGGUAGAAGAACUGUAGGCUCAGAAGACAAUUUUUUCAGAAAUGUGUAUCAUCGGUAUAAGGACAUCAUUCGUAAAUAUAGCUCAACAUGCAGACUUCUUAUACGUUCAGGUAUUUCACAUCCGAUAUUUUAUGGAAAUAUUUUUUAUAAAGCACAAAAAUGUCAG